GCAAUUCGGCAUGAUCUGAUUUUAUUGCUUGUCUUGUGUUUAUUUUAUGUUUAUUUACUUGUUUUAAUGAAAUAUCAUUUAGUUGUUGUAUAUUUGUGAUUUGAUUGCUUUUACUAUAGAUUACUUGUACCGUAGGGGUAUGAUUUAUUAAUGUGUUUUUAGAAGCUGAUUUUAUUGAUUGUACCUUGUGUAUCAGGGUUCAUUGAAUUUUAUUAUUUAUUUUUAUUUCCCGAUUUUAAAGGAGUUAGUGAUUUAUUUUAGUUAGUGUUUCAUUAUUAUUAAUAAUAGGUCAUUGGUAGUGAAAUGUUAUUCGUCUUUAGUGGUUUCUGGUUUUCCAAGAAAUGAAUUCAAUUCAUGCUCUUUGUUUAAUCUUUACUUUUAUUCUAUUGAUUUUUAUUUAGAGCUAAGAUUAAGGGGGAUUAGCUCCUUAUUUUAUACUUAUAAUUUUACUUGUUAAUUUAGUUUUGUGGAUUUUAUAUUGAUUUUCAAUUUGAUUAUGUUAAAAUUUUAUUUAUUCUUUUAUUUAUUUAAUUUGUAAUUUAAUUUGUUUAUUGGAGUAUUUUCUUUAACUGUUUAUCUGGAUAGCAAUUAUUGUGUAAUUAGUAAAUUAUCUUUUAUGUUGUUUGUUAAUGUGGUAAAUUCUUUUAAGGAACUAGGCAAUUCUUUACAUGUCCGCCUGUUUAACAAAAACACCUCUUCUUGCUAGUUUUUGAAGUAUGGCCUGCCCACUGACUAUUUGUUGAAGGGCCGCGGUAUUUUGACCGUGCAAAGGUAGCAUAAUCAUUAGUUCUUUAAUUGUGAUCUGGUAUGAAUGGCUUGACGAGACAUGAACUGUCUUAAGUAAUGAAUAUUUAAUUGAAUUUGGUCUUUAAGUUAAAAUUCUUAAAUGUUUUUAUGGGACGAGAAGACCCUAUAGAGUUUUACAUUUGACUUGCUUUCUGUUAUUUUGUUUGUUUUAAUUUUAUUAAGUGAUUUAAAUGUUUUGUUGGGGUGAUGGGAGGAAUUUAUUUAACUCCUCUUUAUAUGGCAUAUUUAUCUAUAAUCUUUUGAUCCAUUUAUUUUGAUUACAAGAUUAAAUUACCUUAGGGAUAACAGCGUUAUCUUCCUUGAGAGUUCUUAUUGGCAGGGAGGUUUGCGACCUCGAUGUUGGAUUAAGGUUAAUUUUUGGUGUAGGAGCUAAAUUGAUUGGGUCUGUUCGACCUUUAAAACCUUACAUGAUCUGAGUUCAGACCGGCGUGAGCCAGGUUGGUUUCUAUCUAUAAUGUAAUAUUAUACCUUAGUACGAGAGGACCGGGUAUUUGGAAUAAUUUUAUUCUUUGUGAUUAUUAUUAAUGUUAUUACUAUUUUGGCAGAUAAGUGCAUUGGAUUUAGAAUCUAUUAA
rnacentral:rRNA from 1 species